rnacentral:rRNA from 1 species
GACGAACGCUGGCGGCGUGCCUAAUACAUGCAAGUUGAGCGAUGAAGAUUGGUGCUUGCACCAAUUUGAAGAGCAGCGAACGGGUGAGUAACGCGUGGGGAAUCUGCCUUUGAGCGGGGGACAACAUUUGGAAACGAAUGCUAAUACCGCAUAACAACUUUAAACAUAAGUUUUAAGUUUGAAAGAUGCAAUUGCAUCACUCAAAGAUGAUCCCGCGUUGUAUUAGCUAGUUGGUGAGGUAAAGGCUCACCAAGGCGAUGAUACAUAGCCGACCUGAGAGGGUGAUCGGCCACACUGGGACUGUGACACGGCCCAAACUCCUACGGGAGGCAGCAGUAGGGAAUCUUCGGCAAUGGACGAAAGGCUGACCGAGCAACGCCGCGGGAGUGAAGAAGGUUUUCGGAUCGUAAAAAUCUGUUGGUAGAGAAGAACGUUGGUGAGAGUGGAAAGCUCAUCAAGUGACGGUAACUACCCAGAAAGGGACGGCUAACUACGUG